rnacentral:rRNA from 1 species
AGAGUCGGUCCAGACUCCUACGGGAGGCAGCAGUGGGGAAUCUUGCACAAUGGGCGAAAGCCUGAUGCAGCGACGCCGCGUGGGGGAUGAAGCAUUUCGGUGUGUAAACCCCUUUCGAUCCGGACGAAACCCCGCAAGGGAUUGACGGUACGGAUAUAAGAAGCCCCGGCUAACUACGUGCCAGCAGCCGCGGUAAGACGUAGGGGGCCAGCGUUGUUCGGAAUUACUGGGUGUAAAGGGUUCGUAGGCGGUGUAGCAAGUCGGGAGUGAAAUCUUUGGGCUUAACCCAGAGGCUGCUUCCGAAACUGCUGUGCUUGAGUGUGGGAGAGGCGCGUGGAAUUGCAGGUGUAGCGGUGAAAUGCGUAGAUAUCUGCAGGAACACCCGUGGCGAAAGCGGCGCGCUGGACCACUACUGACGCUGAGGAACGAAAGCUAGGGGAGCAAACAGGAUUAGAUACCCUGGUAGUCCUAGCCCUAAACGAUCAGGACUUGGGGUGCCACCCGUUCGGGUGUCGUCCCGGAGCUAACGCGUUAAGUCCUGCACCUGGGGAGUACGGUCGCAAGACUGAAACUCAAAGGAAUUGACGGGGGCCCGCACAAGCGGUGGAACACGUGGUUCAAUUCGACGCUACGCGAGGAACCUUACCUGGGCUCGAAAUGCUAGUGACCAGCUGUAGAAAUACGGCCUUCCCGCAAGGGACACUAGUAUAGGCGCUGCAUGGCUGUCGUCAGCUCGUGCCGUGAGGUGUUGGGUUAAGUCCCGCAACGAGCGCAACCCCUGCACACAGUUACUACUCGCAAGAGAGGACUCUGUGUGGACUGCUCCGGAUAACGGAGAGGAAGGUGGGGAUGACGUCAAGUCCGCAUGGCCUUUAUGUCCAGGGCUACACACGUGUUACAAUGCAGGGCACAAACCGUUGCCAACCCGCGAGGGGGAGCUAAUCGGAAAAAACUCUGCUCAGUUCGGAUUGCAGUCUGCAACUCGACUGCAUGAAGCCGGAAUCGCUAGUAAUGGCGUAUCAGAUCGACGCCGUGAAUACGUUCCCGGGCCUUGUACACACCGCCCGUCACAUCACGAAAGUGAGCUGUACUAGAAGUCGCCGCGCUGACCGCAAGGAGGCAGGCGCCCAAGGUAUGACUCAUGAUUGGGGUGAAGUCGUAACAAGGUAACCGU